rnacentral:rRNA from 1 species
UACGUAGGGUGCAAGCGUUGUCCGGAAUUAUUGGGCGUAAAGAGCUUGUAGGCGGUUUGUCGCGUCUGCUGUGAAAUUUCGGGGCUCAACCCCGAACUUGCAGUGGGUACGGGCAGACUAGAGUGUGGUAGGGGAGACUGGAAUUCCUGGUGUAGCGGUGAAAUGCGCAGAUAUCAGGAGGAACACCAACGGCGAAGGCAGCUCGCUGGGACGGUACUGACGCUGAGGCGCGAAAGCGUGGGGAGCGAACAGG